CAGUCGCCGCGGGAAUACGGAGGGUGCAAGCGUUAUCCGGAUUUAUUGGGUUUAAAGGGUCCGUAGGCGGAUCUGUAAGUCAGUGGUGAAAUCUCACAGCUUAACUGUGAAACUGCCAUUGAUACUGCAGGUCUUGAGUAAAUUUGAAGUGGCUGGAAUAAGUAGUGUAGCGGUGAAAUGCAUAGAUAUUACUUAGAACACCAAUUGCGAAGGCAGGUCACUAAGAUUUAACUGACGCUGAUGGACGAAAGCGUGGGGAGCAAACAGGAUUAGAUACCCCAGUAGUCCCUGUCUCUUAUAA
rnacentral:rRNA from 1 species